rnacentral:tRNA from 15 species
GGCCUUGUGGUCUAGUGGUAUGAUUCUCGCUUUGGGUGCGAGAGGCCCCGCGUUCGAAUCGCGGCAGGGCCC